ensembl:lncRNA
CUGGUAUCCUACAGGGGAGUAGCUUUUUGACACCAUUCAUGCCCUGUGCAGUGAUCCUGUCUUCUAAGCUGCAUCUUCUAAGAGAGUUCCCUGAGGUUUCUUCUCAAUUGCUGAAAGGUAUCCAUCAUAAGGAAAAAAAAAAAUAGCUAGUUACUCUUUGAAACAUAAGCUGUGCCUUUGCUCUCCAGCCUGCUGUGGAUUCUUUCCAGGCUCUGAGUCAUCGGCACUGUGAGAGUUCCCCGUGCUCAAGAAUUGUGCCUUCCAUCUUGAAGCACUGAGAAGUCAAUUAAUGUUCCUGUGAAAAGACUGAAUGAUGAGUUGAACGAUGGAAAAGGUGGAAAAGGCAUAGGACUGGCACAGCAGUUUUGGAUUCCAGCCAUCUUAACCAUUUUCAAGGUGCUGAGACCAGAAGAUGAAGAGUUUAUCUCCAAGAUUUCUGAGCCCCUCUUUUUUGUCUCUCUAACCCAAAGAAUCCAAUAGGAACAUCUGGCUUCCUUUGGGAA